UGGGGAAUAUUGCACGAUGGGGGAAACCCUGAUGCAGCAACGCCGCGUGAAGGAUGAAGGUUUUCGGAUCGUAAACUUCUUUGACGAGGGACGAAAAAAAUGACGGUACCUCGAAAACAAGCCACGGCUAACUACGUGCCAGCAGCCGCGGUAAUACGUAGGUGGCGAGCGUUGUCCGGAUUUACUGGGUGUAAAGGGCGUGUAGGCGGGAAAGUAAGUCAGAUGUGAAAUUCCAUGGCUCAACUGUGGCACUGCAUCUGAAACUAUUUUUCUUGAGUGAUGGAGAGGAAAGUGGAAUUCCUAGUGUAGCGGUGAAAUGAGUAGAUAUUAGGAGGAACACCAGUGGCGAAGGCGACUUUCUGGACAUUAACUGACGCUGAGGCGCGAAAGCGUGGGGAGCAAACAG
rnacentral:rRNA from 1 species